GACGAACGCUGGCGGCGUGCUUAACACAUGCAAGUCGAACGGAAAGGCCCUGCUUUUGUGGGGUGCUCGAGUGGCGAACGGGUGAGUAACACGUGAGUAACCUGCCCUUGACUUUGGGAUAACUUCAGGAAACUGGGGCUAAUAACGGAUAGGAGCUCCUGCUGCAUGGUGGGGGUUGGAAAGUUUCGGUGGUUGGGGAUGGACUCGCGGCUUAUCAGCUUGUUGGUGGGGUAGUGGCUUACCAAGGCUUUGACGGGUAGCCGGCCUGUGAGGGUGACCGGCGACACAGGGGGAGUGAGAGACCCCCGACACACACCGGAGGGAGAAGGGUGGAAGAUUUCACAAAAUGCGGAGGACAGAUAUACCGACGCGCCGCGCGGGAGAGCGCACCCCUCGGGUUGUAAACCGCUCUCGCGUGACGGAGCGCGAGAGAGGGGAAUAUGGGAAGAAGCACCGGCUAACUACGUG
rnacentral:rRNA from 1 species